rnacentral:rRNA from 1 species
GACGAACGCUGGCGGCGUGCUUAACACAUGCAAGUCGAACGGAGAGGCCCUGCUUUUGUUGGGUGCUCGAGUGGCGAACGGGUGAGUAACACGUGAGUAACCUGCCCUGGAGUUGGGGAUAACUUCAGGAAACUGUGGCUAAUACCGGAUAGGAGCUCCUGCUGCAUGGUGUGGGUUGGAAAGUUUCGGCGGUUGGGGAUGGACACGGGGCUUCUCAGCUUGUGGGUGGGGGUGGGGCUUAGCAAGGCCUUGACGGGUAGCCGGCCUGAGAUGGUGACAGGGCACAUUGGGAUACGGGUGCGGGCAGGAGUGCUACGGGGGGCAUGGGUGGGGGAUUUUGCACGAUGGGCCGCAUCCGGGUGGAAGAUCUCCGGGUGCUAGAUGACGGCCUUCAGGUUGUAACCCGUUUUCGCCUGUGAAGAAGCGUGAGUGACGGUAAUGGGUAAAGAAGCACCGGCUAACUACGUG